CAACACUAGGUAUCCACCAUGACUCGUUCUCAACUUGUUUGGGAGUUAAUGUUGGUGUCUGGACUCAAUGAAGUUGAUCCUACUUGCUCACGGAAAAGUUAAAGCCAGACUCCUUCAUUAUAUGAAAUAAGACAGAUUGUAGCCAUUCUUGGGUUUUUCUAAUUUCUACAUUUCUAUUUUAAUGUCUUAAAAAUAAAAGCAACAGAUGAUAUGAAA